rnacentral:rRNA from 1 species
UACGUAGGUGGCAAGCGUUGUCCGGAUUUACUGGGCGUAAAGAGCGCGUAGGCGGCUUUGCAAGUCGGGUGUGAAAUCCCCAGGCUUAACCUGGGAACUGCAUUCGAGACUGCAUUGCUAGAGUAUGGGAGAGGGAAGUGGAAUUUCCGGUGUAGCGGUGAAAUGCGUAGAUAUCGGAAGGAACAUCAGUGGCGAAAGCGACUUCCUGGACCAAUACUGACGCUCAUGUGCGAAAGCGUGGGGAGCAAACAGG